GGAUCAGGCAAAUCUGGCCAUAAACAAGAGAUGGAGUCUGGCUAUGUUCCCCACACCGGUCUUGAACUCCUGGCCUCAAGCAAUCCUCCCUCCUCGGCCUUCCAAAGUGUUGGGAUUACACGUCUGCGCCACCCCAUCUGGCCUAAAAUGUUUUGAAUUAAUGAAAACAGUACUGUACCAAUCAAGAGAAGUAGGAUGGAGGAUCUGGUGAAAAAGAGAUUGCUUCUGACAAGCCUGCCCGCUGCGUGGCUUUUCCAGCUACACUGACUAGCAUUGUGUUCACCUGGAGAGAGGAGAUUCUAAACCAUCCACUCCCUGCUGAUCCUUAGUUUCUGGCUGGUGACACACCAGAAGGAUAGGAUGGCUCCAAUCUCCCUGAUGAAGGGGUAAUCACCUGACUUUCUCUUGGAAACAGAGGCACUGGUUCAGGUCCACAACAUUGAACUUGGAGAGCAAUAACCUCUGUGUGCACAGUCACUGCUGGCUGAAUCAAAAGGCAGGCAUUAGGGAUAAACACUGUCUUUUAAGAAUAGGAGUGAAUGUCUAUACAUUUCUGACAAACGCAGUUUUAUUUAAACAAAAAAAAAAGUGGAGACUGGGAAGACCAGAGAGGGAGGGGCAAAUGAAGGGGCAAAGGAAAGAAGCCCAGUUUCUGGAAUUAUUCAACUAAGUAUGCUUUUAAAAGCUAACAACCACAAAACCCUAAGCCAAACCCUGUUUACUGGCCCCUUGCUAGCCUUGUGUGUUUGCACUCUUGCUCCAUAACGGCUUGUAAAUACCACCAUGUAAAACCUUGAAGGCAAACAGAAGACAAGAAGGGACAAGCUGCAUGUGCUAGGGGUGAAUGAAGUAUGUGUCAAGGUAUUUGGAUGGAGAUGUGCCCAGAAUCUUCCUAGUCAAGCUUAAUAAACUUUGGCCCAAGGUCCUCUCCUGUUAUUGAAACUCUUUCAUCUGGCAGAAGAUCUUUUUCUCAGAUCCAAAUUGGUGCCUCCCACCCUUCCCCAAACUGAACAAUAAAACCAAAAUAAGGAGGAAGCCUAAAAUUAGGAACUGUAAGCAUAUCACUGGUAAAAUAACAAGACACUGUUGGCCGGGCACGGUGGCUCACGCCUAUAAUCCC
rnacentral:lncRNA from 10 species